GCUCCAGUUCUUAGGCUUCAGACUUGGCGGAGCUUUAAAUGGUUUUCACAGCAGAUUGGCUGGUAAAGGCUAACAUUUUGGUGAGUCAAUGCUAUGUUAAGCUCUUGAACUAUCAAACAGCCAUAACUAUCAUCCCAAGACAGAAUUUGCAGUCCUUUCUCAGAUUCCAUGUGGCGGGGUGACAGAUAACUCAGUGUCUUUUGGUUGACUCUGGACGGUAAUACCUGAACUGUAUGGACUUGACUUUACGGUUCCUCUUGGGAGAAUACAGCGUGGUGGUUUCUGUUCAAAUUAAA
rnacentral:lncRNA from 1 species